GGGACACGUGGUAUCCUGUCUGAAUAUGGGGGGACCAUCCUCCAAGGCUAAAUACUCCUGACUGACCGAUAGUGAACCAGUACCGUGAGGGAAAGGCGAAAAGAACCCCGGCGAGGGGAGUGAAAAAGAACCUGAAACCGUGUACGUACAAGCAGUGGGAGCACGCUUAGGCGUGUGACUGCGUACCUUUUGUAUAAUGGGUCAGCGACUUAUAUUCUGUAGCAAGGUUAACCGAAUAGGGGAGCCGAAGGGAAACCGAGUCUUAACUGGGCGUUAAGUUGCAGGGUAUAGACCCGAAACCCGGUGAUCUAGCCAUGGGCAGGUUGAAGGUUGGGUAACACUAACUGGAGGACCGAACCGACUAAUGUUGAAAAAUUAGCGGAUGACUUGUGGCUGGGGGUGAAAGGCCAAUCAAACCGGGAGAUAGCUGGUUCUCCCCGAAAGCUAUUUAGGUAGCGCCUCGUGAAUUCAUCUCCGGGGGUAGAGCACUGUUUCGGCAAGGGGGUCAUCCCGACUUACCAACCCGAUGCAAACUGCGAAUACCGGAGAAUGUUAUCACGGGAGACACACGGCGGGUGCUAACGUCCGUCGUGAAGAGGGAAACAACCCAGACCGCCAGCUAAGGUCCCAAAGUCAUGGUUAAGUGGGAAACGAUGUGGGAAGGCCCAGACAGCCAGGAUGUUGGCUUAGAAGCAGCCAUCAUUUAAAGAAAGCGUAAUAGCUCACUGGUCGAGUCGGCCUGCGCGGAAGAUGUAACGGGGCUAAACCAUGCACCGAAGCUGCGGCAGCGACGCUUAUGCGUUGUUGGGUAGGGGAGCGUUCUGUAAGCCUGUGAAGGUGUGCUGUGAGGCAUGCUGGAGGUAUCAGAAGUGCGAAUGCUGACAUAAGUAACGAUAAAGCGGGUGAAAAGCCCGCUCGCCGGAAGACCAAGGGUUCCUGUCCAACGUUAAUCGGGGCAGGGUGAGUCGACCCCUAAGGCGAGGCCGAAAGGCGUAGUCGAUGGGAAACAGGUUAAUAUUCCUGUACUUGGUGUUACUGCGAAGGGGGGACGGAGAAGGCUAUGUUGGCCGGGCGACGGUUGUCCCGGUUUAAGCGUGUAGGCUGGUUUUCCAGGCAAAUCCGGAAAAUCAAGGCUGAGGCGUGAUGACGAGGCACUACGGUGCUGAAGCAACAAAUGCCCUGCUUCCAGGAAAAGCCUCUAAGCAUCAGGUAACAUCAAAUCGUACCCCAAACCGACACAGGUGGUCAGGUAGAGAAUACCAAGGCGCUUGAGAGAACUCGGGUGAAGGAACUAGGCAAAAUGGUGCCGUAACUUCGGGAGAAGGCACGC
rnacentral:rRNA from 2 species